GCCUCGAUAGUCGAAUGGUCGAGACGCUCGUCUGGUAAACAGAAGGGCGCGUGGGUUCAAUCCCAGCCGGGGUA
rnacentral:tRNA from 1 species